UACAGAGGGGGCAAGCGUUAUUCGGAAUUACUGGGCGUAAAGGGCGCGUAGGCGGUUCGUUAAGUCCUGUGUGAAAUCCCCCGGCUCAACUGGGGAACUGCACAGGAAACUAGCGGGCUUGAGUUCGGGAGAGGGAAGCGGAAUUCCGGGUGUAGCGGUGAAAUGCGUAGAUAUCCGGAGGAACACCGGUGGCGAAGGCGGCUUCCUGGACCGACACUGACGCUGAGGCGCGAAAGCUAGGGGAGCAAACGGG
rnacentral:rRNA from 1 species